GAUGAACGCUAGCUACAGGCUUAACACAUGCAAGUCGAGGGGCAGCAUUUUAGUUUGCUUGCAAACUAAAGAUGGCGACCGGCGCACGGGUGAGUAACACGUAUCCAACCUGCCGAUAACUCGGGGAUAGCCUUUCGAAAGAAAGAUUAAUAUCCGAUAGUAUAUUAAAACCGCAUGGUUUUACUAUUAAAGAAUUUCGGUUAUCGAUGGGGAUGCGUUCCAUUAGUUUGUUGGCGGGGUAACGGCCCACCAAGACUACGAUGGAUAGGGGUUCUGAGAGGAAGGUCCCCCACAUUGGAACUGAGACACGGUCCAAACUCCUACGGGAGGCAGCAGUGAGGAAUAUUGGUCAAUGGACGAGAGUCUGAACCAGCCAAGUAGCGUGAAGGAUGAAGGUCCUACGGAUUGUAAACUUCUUUAUAAGGGAAUAAAACCUCCCACGUGUGGGAGCUUGUAUGUACCUUAUGAAUAAGCAUCGGCUAACUCCGUG
rnacentral:rRNA from 1 species